CUUAGCACAGUGUGUGUUCCUCUCUUUCCCAUCGUUUAAUCUGCAGGAACUUCAGAGGCAGAGAGAAACCACAAGCGCCACAGAGCUGUCAGAGAGCUGGAACUCAUGUCCAACGUUCAACCAUCAGAGCUCUGCUGGGAGACUGAAUGGGGUGACGGAGGACAGGAAGCUGAGGUGCUAAAUGGGAUCCGGAGGGAAAGUCCAACCGGUGGACCCAGACUCUGGGGUCAGAUUCAGCUCCUCCUCUGCCUCAGGCCAAAAACACGACCUGUGACACCAGAGCUCUUCUUCUGAACUCGACUCAUUGUAGUGUUAGCUAAUGAGAUAUCACCUGCUGGGUCACCAUAAACAGUUAAAUCUCCUUAGUGAUAGCCUCAGCUGGGAUCAUUUUGCAAAAUUGUGACUCUUGAAGAUUCAGAGACAUUACAAAGCAUAACAAAACACAAUGCACAUAGUGUAAAGCUAUGGAAUAAACCUCAAGCUCAGUGGCUACAGCAGUCCUUUUAGUCCCAUUGAGACCACCCAUGCAGCAAAAUAUGGAACUCAAAGUCACUUACAUGUAAUACAGCAGACAAUGUCAUAAAGUCUGCCUUCCUCUGAAAUAAGUUCCCAUUGUAUGACUGCUGCUGGUCAAACUUCAAAUCUGGUUUGUCAGAACAAACUACGUGCCUUAAACCCAUCAAAAAUGCUCCUUUGUGACCACAUGAGGAAAACGUGUAACUAUGAUAUGCAUGUUUGCAAGCACGCAUGCAUGCACAUGCAAACGCAUAUCUUCAUAUAUUUACUGCAUAAAGAACAAGAAAGGCUCGGAGGAAGAGUGCUCCAGGCCGCAAACCAGCACAUCUCCCUAAAUCUGCACUUGUUGUGUCAUUGUUUGACAAAUUGUUCCACCUAUAGUAAACAUAGCUCUCAGCAGUCAGGCUCCAAAGUGGGUCUUCACACACUACAUGGCAUCUUACAUCGCAUGUUGGACUUUUGUGAAAUGGGUUUCUGUAAUCGUCUCUCUCUGUAACGUGGUCUCAAUUCAUGUUUUUUCUUCCCAGAACACACAUGACAAUAAACACAGAGUUACAGUAAA